CAUCAUCCAAAAGGCCAAAUAAAUAACAGCCAUGGGAAACAAUAAGGAAUUCAGAAAUGGAAGAUUUGCAUAAAAACAGAAAUUAAACAGUAUCAGAUAGACAAAGAAGCCACAGGCCAGUGUAUGAACAAGAGAGAAAAAGAGCCAACAACUAGUAAGAAAAUGAGGAUCUCAGUCAUACAAGUUCAAGAAAAUGAAUUCUGCCAAUAACCUAAGAGAGCCGGGAAACAGAUUUCCCUAGCUGAGCCUCCAGAUGAAAAUGCAGCCAGCGGACACCUUGAUUGCAUCCAUGAGACACUGAGCAGAGAACCCAACUAAAGCAUGCCAGAUUUCUGAUAAUAAAUUAAUAUUAUUGCAAGCCA